rnacentral:lncRNA from 1 species
UUCCAGUUGUCAAGAUUCAUCUCCCAGAAAAGUAAAAGCUGAAAAGAACGUGUAAUCUUCUUGAGAGAGACCCCACAGUAUCUCCAGAUGUUUUGGGUUAUUCUGUGGUGAGGGGAAAAGGCCUAGGUUGAGAGAAGCAAAUAUGUUCAUUCUUUGAAAGGAGGAAGGUCACCAAGUGGGAACGGUUUCCAGCCUUUGGAAGUAUCGCAUUUCAGCAGAAGGAGCCAGGAAUAAGAUAUCAUUUGUUACCUUUGCUAAUCCAUUAAGUAGACAUUGGACAGCUGAGCUAUUAUUUGGAACUCUCUGCUAUGUAUCCUCUAACAAGGAAACAGUGUCCUGCUGAGUUUAGGUGUGGUGUGCGCUAAGGCGACAUAAAACUUUCAGCAGCUUUCGAUGAAGCUGAUUUUUAUUUUAGGGAACAGCACACACUGAAUCAGU